rnacentral:rRNA from 1 species
UGGGGAAUAUUGCACAAUGGGCGCAAGCCUGAUGCAGCCAUGCCGCGUGUAUGAAGAAGGCCUUCGGGUUGUAAAGUACUUUCAGCGGGGAGGAAGGCGAUUAGGCUAAUAAGCUUGUGGUUUGACGUUACCCGCAGAAGAAGCACCGGCUAACUCCGUGCCAGCAGCCGCGGUAAUACAGAGGGUGCAAGCGUUAAUCGGAAUUACUGGGCGUAAAGCGCGCGCAGGCGGUUUGUUAAGUUGGAUGUGAAAUCCCCGGGCUCAACCUGGGAACUGCAUUCAAAACUGGCUGGCUAGAGUAUGGUAGAGGGGGGUAGAAUUUCAGGUGUAGCGGUGAAAUGCGUAGAGAUAGGGAGGAAUACCGGUGGCGAAGGCGGCCACCUGGACUAAGACUGACGCUGAGGUGCGAAAGCGUGGGGAGCAAACA